rnacentral:rRNA from 1 species
UACGUAGGGGGCAAGCGUUGUCCGGAAUCAUUGGGCGUAAAGCGCGCGUAGGCGGCCCUGUAAGUCCGUUGUGAAAGUCAAAGGCUCAACCUUUGAAAGCCGAUGGAUACUGCAGGGCUAGAGUCCGGAAGAGGCGAGUGGAAUUCCUGGUGUAGCGGUGAAAUGCGCAGAUAUCAGGAAGAACACCCGUGGCGAAGGCGGUUCUCUGGGACGGUACUGACGCUGAGACGCGAAAGCGUGGGAGCGAACAGG